rnacentral:tRNA from 2 species
GCCCGGAUGGCGAAAUUGGUAGACGCAAGGGACUUAAAAUCCCUCGAUGGCAACAUCGUGCCGGUUCGACCCCGGCUCCGGGCACCA